rnacentral:rRNA from 1 species
AUUGAACGCUGGCGGCAGGCCUAACACAUGCAGGUCGAGCGGCAGCGGGAAAGUAGCUUGCUACUUUUGCCGGCGAGCGGCGGACGGGUGAGUAAUGCCUGGGAAAUUGCCCAGUCGAGGGGGAUAACAGUUGGAAACGACUGCUAAUACCGCAUACGCCCUACGGGGGAAAGCAGGGGACCUUCGGGCCUUGCGCGAUUGGAUAUGCCCAGGUGGGAUUAGCUAGUUGGUGAGGUAAUGGCUCAUCAAGGCGACGAUCCCUAGCUGGUCUGAGAGGAUGAUCAGCCACACUGGAACUGAGACACGGUCCAGACUCCUACGGGAGGCAGCAGUGGGGAAUAUUGCACAAUGGGGGAAACCCUGAUGCAGCCAUGCCGCGUGUGUGAAGAAGGCCUUCGGGUUGUAAAGCACUUUCAGCGAGGAGGAAAGGUUGAUGCCUAAUACGUAUCAACUGUGACGUUACUCGCAGAAGAAGCACCGGCUAACUCCGUGCCAGCCGCCGCAGUAAUAC